rnacentral:lncRNA from 1 species
UGGAAACCGGAAGCAGUGCGGGCGGGAUCUCUAGUCCUUCCGGCACGCAGACCCUCCCCCCUCUAGUGGCAAGUCACCGCCUAGUGACGUCAUUCCGGUGCGCCGGCAGGGCUACAUCCGGGUUUCGGCUGGCGGGCUCCUCGCAGGCUCUCGUAGGCUGGAGAAAGCUGUGUGGCUGGCAAACGCCGAGCGAGUUCUGUGCUGGGGAGGCGACGGUGUUGUAAUCCGAUUGGUCCAGGGCUCCCUGCCUCCUUUGAGAACUUUGCGAGCAAAGUGCACUCGUAGCUCAGGUUGGAACCUGUUGAUGUUAACGGUGCAUAAUGAGGAGGAGCAGGGACACAUUUGUUAAUGGCUAAGCAGUCCCACCCUGCUAGAGAAGCCCAGAUCUCGCUGUACGUAAGGAAGACCGCUGUCAGUCGAUGGCGUCACACACUGAGGACGUUAGUGUGCUGUGUACCACGCUAGCGUUUUUGUGUGUGAUAUCCACGCAUGUGAUAACCACGCACAGAGGCGCUGGUAGAGGGGGGCUUUGAACUCAGGCUGUGUGGUUUAAGUGUUCCUGAUUUUCACAAUCCUCCCUACCUCCCUCCGUCCCUACACAGGGUCUCUCUGUGUAGCCUUGGCUGUCCUGGAACUCGCUGUGUAGACCAGGCUGGUUUCUAAUUCACAGAUCCGCCUGCUUCUGCCUCUCCAGCCUGAAGAGGAUACUGUUUUUGGUUUUUGUUUUGGUUUUUUCGAGACAGGGUUUCUCUGUGGCUUUGGAGGCUGUCCUGGAACUGCCUCUUGUAGACCUGGCUGGUCUUGAACUCACAGAGAUCCGCCUGCCUCUGCCUCCUGAGUGCUGGGAUUAAAGGUGUGCGCCACCACUGCCCGGCGAGGAUGCUGUUUUUAAAGCACCUAUUGGGAGCUCAGCUUUUGUUAUUUUGUUUGUUUUGAGACCAGGUCUCACUGUGUGGCCCCGACCAGCCUGGUAUUCACUAUGUAGACCAAGCUGGCUUUGAAUUUACAGAGUAGACCUACCUGCCUCUGCCUCCUGAGUGAGGCGGUGGGGUGGGAGGUUGAGGAGGGGGAUUGUGGAGUAGGUGUUGAGGAAGUUUUCUUUCUUUCUCUCUCUCUCUCUCUCUCUCU